rnacentral:rRNA from 1 species
AAUUUGUUUAAUUGCAGUAAGAGGAAGUAUGUGAUGAUCUAAUUACAUAAGAUGUGUUUAUUAAUUUGUUCCAACAGCGAUAAGUAGUGGACUUAGUAGUUAAUUUUUUAUUGGGACUAUCGUUCCUUAGGAGUUUCGUCAUUUAAAAGGGGAGAGGUCACAGUGCCAGCAUCUGCGGUUAA